rnacentral:rRNA from 1 species
GAGGAAUAUUGCGCAAUGGAGGCAACUCUGACGCAGCCAUGCCGCGUGCAGGAAGAAGGCGCUACGCGUUGUAAACUGCUUUUAACCGGGAAGAAACCCCAGGACGUGUCCUGGGUUGACGGUACCGGAGGAAUAAGCACCGGCUAACUUCGUGCCAGCAGCCGCGGUAAUACGAAGGGUGCAAGCGUUAUCCGGAUUCAUUGGGUUUAAAGGGUGCGUAGGUGGGGCGUUAAGUCAGUGGUGAAAGCCCGCAGCUCAACUGUGGAAUUGCCAUUGAUACUGGCGCUCUUGAGUGCGCUUGAAGUAGGCGGAAUGUGCCGUGUAGCGGUGAAAUGCUUAGAUAUGGCACAGAACACCAAUUGCGAAGGCAGCUUACUAAGGCGAUACUGACGCUGAGGCACGAAAGCGUGGGGAUCAAAC